rnacentral:rRNA from 1 species
UAAUACGAAGGGCCCGAGCGUUAUUCGGAAUCACUGGGCUUAAAGCGUACGUAGGCUGGUAUAUAGGCGUCUUGUGAAAUCCCUCGGCUCAACCGAGGAACUGCAAGGCGAACCAUAUAUCUUGAGACAGACAGAGGUCGUCGGAACGAUUGGUGGAGUGGUGAAGUGCGUUGAUAUCAAUCGGAACGCCGAAGGAGAAGUCAGGCGACUGGGUCUGUUCUGACGCUAAGGUACGAAAGCGUGGGUAGCGAACGGGAUUAGAUACCCCGGUAGUCCACGCCGUAAACAAUGUGCACUAGGUCGAGGGCGCUCUGACGCGACUCUCGGCCGAAGCGAAAGUGUUAAGUGCACCGCCUGGGGAGUACGGUCGCAAGGCUA